AAAAAACCCAACAGAAACUGGCCAUUCUGGGUAUUUUUAGCUCUUUGCAAAAGACCACUAACAUCUCUUUCUCUCUCCCUUUUUUUUUGUUUUGUUUUGUUUAACUCCCUGAAGACUGUCUGCUCUUUGGGGCUGCCUUCGAUACUGCAUCAUUAGCAUCACAUCUCUGCAGUGAAGGUCUCGGCAGUAACCUUCGCCAAGCCUCACUGCCCAGCCCGGCGUUCGCCUGUUCCUGAGACGAGGGGAGCAAUUGUCAGCUGGAAAUGCCACAGGCAGCAGGGCUCGAUGGUGCUCGAUGUACCUCUGAUGAGUCUGAAAGCACCUGGACUUUGGCACCGCAAACUCUUCAGGCUUUGGUGACUUCAGCUUACAGAUACAUAUGUUGUUUUGCAAAGGAGGUGUUGGCUUCUGCAUGUGUUUCUCAUUUCAGAAAUGGCAAGGAUACAGCAGAGACCAAAAUGAAAUCCUCCUUAUUGUCCAGAAGGAUGGAUAACUGCAAGGAAAGAUUAUUCCACAGCGCUGGAAAAAGAAGAUCUACUUGCUCAGUGACCUGGUGGUGAGGUACUGGCUCUGCUUCAUACAGAGGCUGGAAGCCAGGGGAGAUUUUGGGUUACGAAGAGGGCUGGGCAGCGUUUGCUGCCCUCCCUGCUCCAUUCCUGUAUCACUGUCAGCUUAGAUUCCAUAUCAAGAGGGUGAUGUUGUGGCUGGCGGCGACAAUAGCAGAAUGUCACUGGCGGAGGUGAAAUCUUUCCCUCCAUGAAGGUACUUUUUCCUUUCCCUUCCCCAUGGCUUACACCAAGAGCCGCUGGCUCCCAGUGCCAAGCGGGACAUGUACACGUGCUUCUCAAGGGACAGGGUAUACUGUCCUGAGCAUCACUUUUCUUGCUGCGUCGGCAAGCCGUUCUGUGUCAUCGAUGCCUCUUUGUGCGGUGACCUGGCACAGAGGGAAACCCCUCGUUACUGUCUGAGAUAAACCGGGAGCAUUGGGAGCUGCCGUGUCUGCCAUCACGGCAGCAUUGCACAGAGCAGCCCUUUGCCAUGCUGGUGCUCUUGUGCCAGCGGGAGGUCUGCCAGGGGUGUCCCUUCAGAGGCCCAGGGGCCAUCUGUGCUCUUCAGGGGCCAGGCCUGAACUAAGGCAGGGUCCGAGGGGCAGGCAAACGUGCUGAUGGCUCCUAUUCUCUGCAGGCUGUCUCUCACCUCCUCUGAACAGGAGCUAAUCUUGUAGAAGAGCGCCUGUGCCCACACCCUUCCAGCAGCUCCUCUGCCAGCCUGCUGUCCUCAAGGGCUGGUUCAGCAAAGCCUUAGUGCUGUUCUGGGUCCAGCUUUCAUUUUCCAGUGGGUUACGGAGGAAAGAAUGAAGGUAGCUGCCACUGCCAGGCAAUGCUAGAAAACAGAGGCAGGGGAGACAGGCCUCUGUGCACUUAAAGAUCCAAGAGCUUAAUCUGAAUCUGGUUCUCUAUUAGACCUGAUCCUGUCUUGCAUCUUUUCCAGCUGAUGCCUGAGCCUGUCUUUGGCUUGGUGUUUGUUUUUUUUUUUUUCUCCUUUCCCCCUUUUUUCCUCACCUUAUGAAAAAUGGCUUUGCCAUCUGCAUCUGUCAGGAGUCCGCUGAGCUGGGUGUACGGCUCAGUGAAUAUACAAAUGUGUGGUUGGAUCACGGCCCUCCCUGACAGGCCAGAGAUGAAUACCAAACGUGCAGGGAGAAGAGUGCGUUCCCUUCCUCUGCUGCUGCCGCCUCUGAUGGUUGUUUUUCUUAUCCCAAGGAGGCGUAAGAAUCGCCUUUGGGAGCAGUGCUUCCUUCUGCUCCUGUUCCGCCUUGCCAGGGAUCAGUUCUCUGCCAUCCGUCAUCAGAUGAGUCCUCUCCUUGCUCUCACAUCUCAGCUGCUGAUGGGAAUGCCAGGGAAGGGGUAACUGGUUUACCCUGAUUGAUUUUUCCUACCACCUUCUUCCCUCUCCCUUUUGCAUUCCACCACCUAGGCCGGUUACAAGGCCAUCAGCAGGCUGGGGCUUGAGGACACUUGCCUUUGCUUGCUGGUCCAGGUGCUUUUUAAGAGAGAUAAGGAUGAGGUAGAGGGGAGGGGAUUGUUCAGCUUUACCCAUGUGGCUUAAAAUGUAAUUUUGAAUGGGAGUGUUCAGCAGUGUCAUGCAUGACUCCACGUAAGAUGUGCUGAGAGCACCCAAGCACUCCUGCAUGCCUGGGCUUCACGGUGGCCCCUUUCCCUGCUGUAGGUGACCAGCGUGGUGGGGCUCUGCAAGGAGGAAUGCUCCAGCUGUGAGAUCAGCAGUUGCCGUCACUCUGCAGGCUCACUCAGGUACCCAAAGGGAGCUGACAACCUGCCUUGACCCCUGUGGAUUUGCUCAGCUCCUCCUGCUUCUUGGAUUUCUGCAGUCUGUUCAACACUCUGAAUAAUGAGCCUGCGAGCCAGAGGGAGAGCUCCCGGGAGAGGCGCCUGUGUUGCAGAAGGACACAACAGGUGUCUCGGAUGGGCCAAUAUCUGAAGCGAUUUCUCUCUAAUUUUCUACAUCAGUGAGAACACAGCACGGUGCCAUCAAUCAUAGUCAACCUCCCCUCGGAAAGCCACCUCCUGCCUCACCGUACUGCAGCGUCCCCUCUCCUCUUCUGCCCCUGGUUGGGGGACCACAGGUGUCCUGGCCAGCAGUGCCUGGCAGGCGUCUUCUCUCCCGGGGUGGAGGGUUCUUUUUUGUUGUGUUUGACCCUGCUUGCGUUUCUGCCGUUCUCCUUCCUCCACCCCUGGCACGUAUUCCUAGCCAGUGCUUUACUUCCAGGCUGUAUCUCCCCUUCCUGGAGUCAGAAAAGGCCAAAUACCCCUUUUAUCCACAAUGAGGAGAAGGUGUGGAGCUGCUUCUCCUGGGAGAAGCACUUCUCCUGCUGGAGGAGUGAUGGGGGGUGGUUUUGGUGCCUGUACUGCUCAUCUGGGGACGGGUCGGUUGGGCUUUACAGCUCCCCUGAGGCUGCUCCUGCAAGUAGUGACCAUCAAGGCAUGUUCUGGGAUUGCUGGUGCCUGGCUUCUUCACCCCAGCCCCAGCUCUGGGCGUGGAACACCAGAGAGAGCCAUCUUUCGUGUUGGACCGGUGGUGCGAUGCAGCAGCUCUCGGUCUCUUGGUUUCUCCUUUUGUGAAGUCCUCUGCUCCUUCCAGGCCUGGCCAUUUUUCCAGCCGGCCCAGGGGCACCACUUUGGCAGCAGUACUGGUGGUGGAUGUCCUCCUGAGCAGGCCCGGGCCAGAUGCGCUCUGCAGCUGGCCAGAAGGCUGGUGGGCCGUGGAUCUGCGCUCGUGGCUUGCUCUUCUACUGGAGCAUGGACAUAGCUGAUGGAUUUAAUGGCUCUUGCUUCUUCAUCUCUCAUGGGCUAGACUGGGUGCUCUUGUUCAAUUGUGGUGGCUCUUGAACUUACCAAAACCUGGCUAACUGAUGCCAGCUGUCAUGACACAAAAGUGGUUUGCAAGUCCCGUUUCUGGCUCCGUGGGUUCAAGCACCAGCUAGAACCAAGAAUGGUGCUUCUUUCUUGAGCAGAGCCCUAGACAGAAGCAUCUUCUGAAUAAAGCCAUGCGUUGCCACCUGCCUCUCAGCCUCUUAAACUGGCUUCUGAGAGCUGCCAAGG